CUUUAAGCACACGUUUUAGGGUAAUUUUUGUUCAUCUUCUAAGAGACCAUCAAGUUGGACUGAUUCUGUUGGCUCAUGAUUGCUUCCCACCAGCAGCACAUGAGAGGUCCAUUGGUUCCACGUUCUUGCAAACCUACGAUAUGUCCAGCCGUCACAACACGAAUGUACCUGAGUUGG